UGGCACAACUGAAAACAGAGGAGAAGCUGAGAGACUGAAACAGAAGAGAAGACGCGGCAAAGGGAGCAGAGCUGACUCUGAGAAGCGUGUGGUUCUCUCCGCAACCAGUGAAACUCUCCGUGGGAACAGAAAGGAGAUUUUUCCAACCCCGGCUGGGGAACGCCAGCUCCGUGCACAGAUGACCCACUCUCCAAGAGACGUGCCACCGGAUGGCUAACGGAGCACAGCCCUUCCCCUCGACCGGACUCAGGGCACCACAAGUCACAGCCACCACUUACUUUUCAGAUGGUGAAAGACCUUCACAGGGUGGGCAUCAUGGGCAUGGCCGGGCCAAAAAGACCAAAGGUAUUUCAGGUCUCCCGGGUCGUGUCUCCGUUGGAAGCUGGCUAUGGGUUGUGUUAACUCCACCAACUCCAACUUUGGAAAGAAAAAGGGACAUGUCAACAGACAGCAAACAAACAAACAAAAACAAAACUGAGACGCGCUCUCCAGAGGAAAACGGGAAGCAAGUUGGGGCCGGAUGCCCUUCGACUGACUUUGAGAAGUAAGAACAGUAACAACAGUCACCGAGCUGGUACUUAACAUACCUCAUUUCACUUAACCUUCACAACAGUUCCAGGAGUCGCAGAGAGAUCACCCCAGCUCACGUGCGCAGAUCACCGGGCCUCAUUAUGUGCCAGGCACUAGGACACAGCAAUAAACAGGUCUCCUGAUGGCCACAGGCACGGAAGGGAAGGCCCCGAGUCUGGGCUCCCCAGUAUGGCAGCCACCAGUCACAUGUGCCCUGGGAGCUCCUAGAUGUGCUGUAAGACUUAGGACCAGAAAAGUAUGCAAAUGAUCUCAUAUCUUUGCAUUGAUUGUGUGUUAAAGUUGUGAACUUUAAAAAGGGGGUUCUAGGGAAAGUAACCUCAACAGGUGAUCUGAGCAUAAAUUCAUAACUGGGUAGGUGAUGGUGGGUAGUCACACCCCAGGCAUACAAUUUCUUUACUAAAAGGCUUAUCUUUGCCUUAGGCAAGCCCUGUCCAUGGUUUCUGUCCUUCUAGGUUAACACACCUUUGAAAUGCCCCCUUUCAGACCCCUCCAGACAGCACAUAAUCUUAACUAUUCUGUAAUCCCAUUCCCAAAUGGCUUCCUCCCACCUUCAUGUAACCUUCCUGACAUUCCCUCCUUAAUUUCAAACACAUAAAAGCUGCCAAACUGUUACUCUCUGGACCAUUUGAGAUCUUGCUCCCUGGCAUAAGUCAUCAGUUUGGCUCAAAUACUCAUAAAAAUUCUCUACAGGGGCAUCAAUGGGGGAUGUCAUACUUUCAACAACAAAGAUUUUUUUAAAAAAAAUUCUCUACAGGUUUGGACAUUUCUCGUGUAGACAAAGUGAUAAUAUUUUGGAUAAAUGGAAUUAAAUGAAAUAUAUACCACAAUUAAGUUCAUCUGUUUCUCUUUACUGUUUAAAAUAUGGCUACUGCCCUAGCUGGUUAGGCUCAGUGGAUAGAGCAUUGGCCUGGGGACUGAAGGGUCCUAGGUUCGAUUCCAAUCAAGGACACAUGCCCAGGUUGU